GAGUCUUAUCCUCAUGAUACUGUGAAUAUAAUAAAGCAAAUUUUUAAGCAUCACCACAGCCAACUCAAAGAAAACUCACAAACACCAAUAUCUUUAAUUUCCGUGGCACAGACAAUACAAUAGAAGUAUAGUAAUACUAGAAACCAGUUAAGCACACAGUAGUUAAAGCUUGUCUCUUUUGUCGAUACCCUAAUCCUAUAGCCGAAUCAAGUAAUCGACAGAGAAACAUUUGAUAUGUGCCUGCACACAAGGCUUCCAACAUUGUUGGCUUUAAGGAAGGUCAGAUGUUCUGUGCCUAACCCUUCCAUUGCAAAGAAGCUGUCUUCAUGAUUUAAAGUCACAACCAGAAGGUCACUAUAGAACAACCUUAGCAUUUGUUCCAAGGCUCACCCUCAAGAGAAUAAAAACAUUAAUAUAUUUAAAUUCUGAUUGCAGCAGAGUAACUAAACAACUAUUAGACUAAUUAACUACUAUAGUGGCGACCAGAUAUAGAAUACACUGACUGCUGAUAAUAAUUGAGCAUCACAAUAUAAUUAAGGGGAAAUUACAAUUUACUACCCUGUGG
rnacentral:misc_RNA from 1 species